rnacentral:rRNA from 1 species
GUCGAACGAUGAACCGCUUUCGGGCGGGGAUUAGUGGCGAACGGGUGAGUAACACGUGGGCAAUCUGCCCUGCACUCUGGGACAAGCCCUGGAAACGGGGUCUAAUACCGGAUACUCACUGCCUUGGGCAUCCUUGGUGGUGGAAAGCUCCGGCGGUGCAGGAUGAGCCCGCGGCCUAUCAGCUAGUUGGUGAGGUAAUGGCUCACCAAGGCGACGACGGGUAGCCGGCCUGAGAGGGCGACCGGCCACACUGGGACUGAGACACGGNCCAGANUNAUACGGGAGGCAGCAGUGGGGAAUAUUGCACAAUGGGCGAAAGCCUGAUGCAGCGACGCCGCGUGAGGGAUGACGGCCUUCGGGUUGUAAACCUCUUUCAGCAGGGAAGAAGCGAGAGUGACGGUACCUGCAGAAGAAGCGCCGGCUAACUACGUGCCAGCAGCCGCGGUAAUACGUAGGGCGCAAGCGUUGUCCGGAAUUAUUGGGCGUAAAGAGCUCGUAGGCGGCUUGUCACGUCGGUUGUGAAAGCCCGGGGCUUAACCCCGGGUCUGCAGUCGAUACGGGCAGGCUAGAGUUCGGUAGGGGAGAUCGGAAUUCCUGGUGUAGCGGUGAAAUGCGCAGAUAUCAGGAGGAACACCGGUGGCGAAGGCGGAUCUCUGGGCCGAUACUGACGCUGAGGAGCGAAAGCGUGGGGAGCGAACAGGAUUAGAUACCCUGGUAGUCCACGCCGUAAACGGUGGGCACUAGGUGUGGGCAACAUUCCACGUUGUCCGUGCCGCAGCUAACGCAUUAAGUGCCCCGCCUGGGGAGUACGGCCGCAAGGCUAAAACUCAAAGGAAUUGACGGGGGCCCGCACAAGCNGCGGAGCAUGUGGCUUAAUUCGACGCAACGCGAAGAACCUUACCAAGGCUUGACAUACACCGNAAACGGCCAGAGAUGNUCGCCCCCUUGUGGUCNGUGUACANGUGGUGCAUGGCUNUCGUCAGCUCGUGUCNUGAGAUGUUGGGUUAANUCCCGCAACGANCGCAACCCUUGUCCCGUGUUGCCAGCAAGCCCUUCNGGGUGUUGGGGACUCACGGGAGACCGCCGGGGUCAACUCGGAGGAAGGUGGUGACGACGUCAAGUCAUCAUGCCCCUUAUGUCUUGGGCUGCACACGUGCUACAAUGGCCGGUACAAUGAGCUGCGAUACCGCNAGGUGNAGCGAAUCUCAAAAAGCC